GGCCGCGGGAAUUCGAUUCAGGCCUAACACAUGCAAGUCGAGCGGUAGAGAGAAGCUUGCUUCUCUUGAGAGCGGCGGACGGGUGAGUAAUGCCUAGGAAUCUGCCUGGUAGUGGGGGAUAACGUUCGGAAACGGACGCUAAUACCGCAUACGUCCUACGGGAGAAAGCAGGGGACCUUCGGGCCUUGCGCUAUCAGAUGAGCCUAGGUCGGAUUAGCUAGUUGGUGAGGUAAUGGCUCACCAAGGCUACGAUCCGUAACUGGUCUGAGAGGAUGAUCAGUCACACUGGAACUGAGACACGGUCCAGACUCCUACGGGAGGCAGCAGUGGGGAAUAUUGGACAAUGGGCGAAAGCCUGAUCCAGCCAAGGCGCGUGUGUGAAGAAGGUCUUCGGA
rnacentral:rRNA from 1 species